GACGAACGCUGGCGGCGCGCCUAACACAUGCAAGUCGAACGAAGAAAGCGAUAGUUUACUAGAGCUUUCUUAGUGGCGGACGGGUGAGUAACACGUGAAGAACCUGCCUUACAGAGGGGGACAACAGCGAGAAAUCGUUGCUAAUACCGCAUAUGCCAUAAUAGUCACAUGACUAUAGUGGGAAAGGAGUAAUCCGCUAACAGAUGGGCUUGCGUCUGAUUAGAUAGUUGGUGGGGUAACGGCCUACCAAGUCGACGAUCAGUAGCCGGACUGAGAGGUUCAACGGCCACAUUGGGACUGAGAUACGGCCCAG
rnacentral:rRNA from 1 species